rnacentral:rRNA from 1 species
GCCCAAGAGAUCGGGAUAACACCUGGAAACAGAUGCUAAUACCGGAUAACAACAGAUGAUGCCUAUCAACUGUUUAAAAGAUGGUUCUGCUAUCACUCUUGGAUGGACCUGCGGUGCAUUAGCUAGUUGGUAGGGUAACGGCCUACCAAGGCGAUGAUGCAUAGCCGAGUUGAGAGACUGAUCGGCCACAUUGGGACUGAGGCACGGCCCAAACUCCUACGGGAGGCAGCAGCG